CGGGGCGUAGCUUAGUGGCCAAAGCGCCUCCCUCACACGGAGGAGAUCGCGGGUUCGAGUCCCGCCGCCCUGA
rnacentral:tRNA from 1 species